rnacentral:rRNA from 1 species
GACGAACGCUGGCGGCGUGCCUAAUACAUGCAAGUAGAACGCUGAAGGAGGAGCUUGCUUCUCUGGAUGAGUUGCGAACGGGUGAGUAACGCGUAGGUAACCUGCCUGGUAGCGGGGGAUAACUAUUGGAAACGAUAGCUAAUACCGCAUAAGAGUAGAUGUUGCAUGACAUUUGCUUAAAAGGUGCAAUUGCAUCACUACCAGAUGGACCUGCGUUGUAUUAGCUAGUUGGUGGGGUAACGGCUCACCAAGGCGACGAUACAUAGACGACCUGAGAGGGUGCGCGGCCAAACUGGGACUGAGACACGGCCCAGACUCCUACGGGAGGCAGCAGUAGGGAAUCUUCGGCAAUGGAAGGAAGUCUGACCGAGCAACGCCGCGUGAGUGACGAAGGUUUUCGGAUCGUAAAGCUCUGUUGUAAGAGAAGAUCGAGUGUGAGAGUGGAAAGUUCACACUGUGACGGUAUCUUACCAGAAAGGGACGGCUAACUACGUG